rnacentral:rRNA from 1 species
GAUGAACGCUGGCGGCGUGCCUAACACAUGCAAGUCGAACGGAGUCGUUUUGGAAAUCUCUUCGGAGAUGGAAUUCUCGACUUAGUGGCGGACGGGUGAGUAACGCGUGAGCAAUCUGCCUUUAAGAGGGGGAUAACAGUCGGAAACGGCUGCUAAUACCGCAUAAAGCAUUAAAUUCGCAUGUUUUUGAUGCCAAAGGAGCAAUCCGCUUUUAGAUGAGCUCGCGUCUGAUUAGCUAGUUGGCGGGGUAACGGCCCACCAAGGCGACGAUCAGUAGCCGGACUGAGAGGUUGAACGGCCACAUUGGGACUGAGACACGGCCCAGACUCCUACGGGAGGCAGCAGGGGGGAAUAGUGCGCAAUGGGGGAAACCCUGACGCAGCAACGCCGCGUGAUUGAAGAAGGCCUUCGGGUUGUAAAGAUCUUUAAUCAGGGACGAAACAAAUGACGGUACCUGAAGAAUAAGCUCCGGCUAACUACGUG